AAUAUUUCGAGGUUCAUGGCACCUGCCAGAUAAGCAAGCUUCCUUACUUACCAGGUAAGAUUGCCAGAAUCUCUGUAAACAAGGUACCAGGCCCAUAUUUCCAAGUGGCUUAUUUCAGAAAGUCAACCUUAUUCCUCAAAGGCAGUAUUGUCAUAUCCGAGUCUGUAUGUUCCUCUCAAAUAUGACAUUCCAGUCAAAGCUUUGGCAAGAUAACAAAUGUUUCCAAAUGUGUCCUGUUAUAAGGAGAACAGAUUCUUAUUGAACUGAUGCAAAUAACUAUAUUGCCACGAAAUAACCAUACUCACUCACAGAGAGUUUCCAAAUUCUGGAGGGAUCAGGUAGGGAGAAAAAGAUAAAUGUUUCAGUUUGCUCACAAAGGUAUAAUUUCACCAAAUUGCUAUAAGUCAUAGCACAAGAGAAAAGAAAAAGAUUUUCUUGAAUCUGAAAAAACAAAGCAAAACAUCAAAAAAAUCAACAAUAUUUCAAAUAAAAGUCAUAAAAAUUAUCAUCCUCAGUUCAUUCAGUCCUAUAUAAUCAGUUCUUGAUCUUAAUCUUCUGUUAGCACUGUCGACGAAAAUAAUCCAUAACCAAUCUAUAAAUGAAAAUUUGGGUGAGUUUAUUCUGAGCUUAAAUCUUAGUAUUAUAACCCAGGAGAGUCUUUCCACAAAGGAACAGAGCACUCCAAAGAGUGGGGUACACAGGGUGGUUAUGUACCCUCAAAGAGGGUGUUUCACAUAUGAUUGAAAUGUCCCUCCCACAAUAGUCACAAGAUUGCCCUGUUGGGCACAGCACUUGAUGGACACAGCAGGUAGUGGGUCUGCUAUCUCGGUGGGUUUAGCAGGAGGCAAGUCUAUUGUCUCAAGCUGGGCGGUCACAGGUGAGCACAGCAAUCAGCUUCUAUCCUAAGGAAAGAUAAUUAAUCCUUAAGGAGAGGCCAACGUUGGGAGGGGGAGAGAAGUUGCACCUUUAUCUCAAGGGCCUUUGCUCUUGCCAUAGGGAAUCUCUAAAGCAGAUAUACAAUGCAUGCUCAAUGGCCUCGGUCAGGCCCUUUUGGAAAGACAAGGUCAGGCCGAAUUAGGUUUACACCAAAUGGCUUCCUCAUAUACUCCAAUAUAUCCUAUUGCUUGUGUAGGGGAGGAAGACAUUUCCUCUUCCCAAAUGGGGGUUCAUCUGGCCAGAGAAUGAAUUAAAUUCACAUGAGACAGAAUAGCAAAAGAAAAUUAAACAAAGCUUUAUGAGGAACCAUGGCCCAGGGCCUUUCUUCUCAAAGGAAGAAAGGGCACCGAAGAAGUGGGGUGCACACAGUGGUUAUAUACCCCCAAACAGGAUGUUUCACAUGUGAUUGAAAUGUCCCUCCCACAAUAGUCACAAGAUUGCCCUGUCAGCACAGGGCUUGAUGGAUACAGCAGGUAAUGGUCUGCUGUCUCGAUGGGCAUAGCAGGAGGAAAGUCGAUUGUCUGGAGCUGGGCGUCACAGGUGAGCGCAGCAAUCAGUUCCUAGCCUAAGAACAGAUGCUUAAUCCUUAAAGAAAUGCCAACGUUGGCAGGGGGAGGGAAGUCAGUUAUAGGAGGUUACCAGACAAGCACAAUAAAAUGCAGAUUUAAAUCCUUGCCUUUGAUAUUGAUUAAGAGUUUCUAGAGAGAAGGUCACCUCCUUUCUUCUUCCUGGUACAGAGAGGGAGGCACCUUUUACAGAUAGAGAUUUCCCUUACAAAUGUAAACGUGUCCUAACAAAGGGCAACAAACGUGGAUUCAUACAGCUGUCCGAGAAGGUUCCCAAUGGAGCAGUGAAUUUAGAUCCAUCCUUGAAAAAGAGAAAGGCACAAGGAAAACUAGAACUUUAGCUCACAAGCUGGUGAAGCAAGCGGGCUCAGCAAGCCAAGGAGUCAAAAGAAAGACUUCCUGGGCUCAAGGCCUGGAAGUAGCGCUCCUCUAUUCAAAUAGCAUGGGGACAGGGCCUAUGGGCAGUGAAGAGCUGCAGCAUGGGGACAGGACCCAUGGCCAGGACUCAACAGGUCUUAGUCUUAUAAUAUUGCAUAAGGAAGCAUUUCCAGUCAGACAAUUUUAAAACAUACUCAAGCAAAGUUGAUAUAACCUCUUUAUAAAAAGAAAAUCAGCUCAAGCAUUCCAACCUUUAUAAUCUUAUUGUCGACAAAAAUAAUCCAUCACUAAUCUAUAAAUGAAAAUUUGGGUGAGUUUAUUCUGAGCUUAAAUCUGAAGAUUAUAACCUGGGCCCCUCUUCCCCAAGGAAGAAAGGGCACCAAAGAAGUGGGGUGCACAGAGUGGUUAUAUACCCCCAGAGAGGAUGUUUCACAUAGGAUUGAAAUGUCCCUUUUACAAUAGUUGCGAGACUGCUCUGUGGGCACAGCAAUUGAUGGAAACAGCAGGUAGGUCUGCUGUCUCAGUGAACACAGCAGGGUGGCAGUCUGUUGUCUCCAGCUGAGUGGUCACAGGUGAGCUGGGUGGUCAAAGGUGAGUGCAGCAAUCAGUUCCUAGCCUAAGGAAAAAUGCUUAUCCCUAAGGGAAUGCUAAUGUGGGGGGAAGUUGCACCUUUAUCUCAAGGGCCUUUGUUCUGGCCAUAGGAAAUGUCUAAGCAGAUAUACAACGUGUGCUCAAUAGCCACAGUCAGGCCCUUUUGGAAAAAACAGUCAGGCCGAAUUAGGUUUAUACCAAAUGGCUUCCUCAUAUACUCCAAUAUAUCCUAUUGCUUGCCAUUUUUAUUUGUCAUUAUGAACACUUAGACCUUUAUAUUUCACCAAUUCAAUUAUAACCUGAGUCAGGGUUUAAACCUAGUCAUCAUUUUCUUGUGUUUCCUUUUUAAUUUGGCUUUUUUCGUAGAUACCAAUAAAAAUUAUGAUGAGAGCUCUCACAAUUUGUUUCCCCUAUUUAGAAGUUUUCCGAAUUUAAAUGAUCCAUCGUCUGGCCGGAAUUGACGAGUAGGAUCUUAACAGCAACUCAACCAAAGCUUGACCAAGGACAAAGAGGCGUCCCCAAAAGAGAUCCAGAAAAUUCACUCCCAAAAAUAGCCUAAGAAAG
rnacentral:lncRNA from 1 species